UCCAUGUUAACAUUAGCCAAAAUCCUCAUCCGCUUGCGUUGUCGCUUAAAAGCCUUUGGACGAACACUUUCUUGAGUUCCGGUUUGAUUGCCCUGAACACUCCCACAUUUUUUUGGUUUAUCCAAAAUAAGAGACAAUGCAUCAAUUUGAUCCAUAGGAGAGAGACCCAUUGCUUCAAGUUCAUUAGCUAUGUCAGUAUGAUCUGCAGUACCUUG
rnacentral:lncRNA from 1 species